rnacentral:lncRNA from 1 species
AUGGAUUGUCACCACGCUUUCUCACUGGGGAGAGAACAGAGAUUGCUGGUGAGACAGCAGCCACUGCUCCCAGGCCCGAGAACAGGGGCAGCACCAAAGCUGGUCAGUGUUUCCUCCUUACAGUUGUUGGACUGUCUGCCCCAUGAGGGAACAAAAGCUCCAUCGACGAGCGUGGAUCCAGAAGCCCAGGAAAUCAGGCUGGAGCCUUCCUUACUUCUGCUGUCUGCAGUGACCACUCUGGAUUUGGGAUCCAGCCUCCCUGAGACUGUAAACAUCUGGGUGAGAGCCAGCCGUGGCUGAGCCCGUAAUUACUGGCUGCAGCCUCCGUACGGCGGCACAGAGGAG